AGCCCUGUAGUCUAGUGGUCAAGGACAGCUGGCUUUGAACCAGCCAACCCAGGUUCGAAUCCUGGCAGGGCUA
rnacentral:tRNA from 1 species